rnacentral:rRNA from 1 species
AGUGAACGCUGGCGGUAGGCCUAACACAUGCAAGUCGAACGGCAGCACAGUAAGAGCUUGCUCUUACGGGUGGCGAGUGGCGGACGGGUGAGGAAUACAUCGGAAUCUACUUUUUCGUGGGGGAUAACGUAGGGAAACUUACGCUAAUACCGCAUACGACCUACGGGUGAAAGCAGGGGAUCUUCGGACCUUGCGCGAUUGAAUGAGCCGAUGUCGGAUUAGCUAGUUGGCGGGGUAAAGGCCCACCAAGGCGACGAUCCGUAGCUGGUCUGAGAGGAUGAACAGCCACACUGGAACUGAGACACGGUCCAGACUCCUACGGGAGGCAGCAGUGGGGAAUAUUGGACAAAGGGCGCAAGCCUGAUCCAGCCAUACCGCGUGGGUGAAGAAGGCCUUCGGGUUGUAAAGCCCAUUUGUUGGGAAAGAAAAGCAGCAGGUUAAUACCCCGCUGUUCUGACGGUACCCAAAGAAUAAGCACCGGCUAACUUCGUG